AGAGUUUGAUCCUGGCUCAGGACGAACGCUGGCGGUGUGCUUCACACAUGCAAGUCGAACGAGGUAGCAAUACCUAGUGGCGGACGGGUGAGUAACGCGUGGGAAUCUGCCUUUAGAUGGGGGAUAACGGGUCGAAAGACUCGCUAAUACCGCAUAUGACGAAAGUUGAAAGGAGUAAUCCGUCUAAAGAUGAGCCCGCGUCCGAUUAGCUAGUUGGUAGAGUAAAAGCCUACCAAGGCGACGAUCGGUAGCUGGUCUGAGAGGAUGAUCAGCCACAAUGGGACUGAGACACGGCCCAUACUCCUACGGGAGGCAGCAGUGGGGAAUUUUACGCAAUGGGCGAAAGCCUGACGUAGCGACACCGCGUGAGCGAAGAAGCCCCUUGGGGUGUAAAGCUCUGUCAGCUGGAACGAAAAAAAUGACGGUACCAGCAGAGGAAGCAUCGGCUAACUACGUGCCAGCAGCCGCGGUAAGACGUAGGAUGCAAGCGUUGUCCGGAUUUAUUGGGCGUAAAGAGUUCGUAGGUGGUUUGUUAAGUUUGGUGUUAAAGAUUGGGGCUCAACCCUGAAACUGCACUGAAUACUGGCAGACUCGAGUGUGGUAGAGGCUAGUGGAAUUCCCAGUGUAGCGGUGAAAUGCGUAGAUAUUGGGAAGAACACCGGUGGCGUAGGCGACUAGCUGGGCCAUAACUGACACUGAGGAACGAAAGCCAGGGGAGCGAAUGGGAUUAGAUACCCCAGUAGUCCUGGCCGUAAACGAUGGAUACUAGGCGUAUCGGGUAUCGACCCCUGAUGUGCCGCAGCUAACGCGAUAAGUAUCCCGCCUGAGUAGUACGGCCGCAAGGUUGAAACUCAAAGGAAUUGACGG
rnacentral:rRNA from 1 species